UAUAUUUAGAGGCUUAGAUUUAGCUGUGAUGUAAUUUUAAACGUUAAUGAACCAGAGCGUUGGAGAUAGCUGUAACAAAUGUUUUAUUUUUAUUUUUUUUAUUAAUGAUUCAACAAUAUUGACGCAAUGAUCGAUCAUGAUACCAGAUUGUUCUUUGUUUUAUAUUUUACUGAUAUGUUAAAUUCUUUUUUGCGCACUGAAACAAUCUGAAUAAGUGAUGCAAACAGCCUCCUUCACCAGUUUUUAUUUUGUUUAUUGUUAAAAUAUAAAACAGGGUUCCUGCUUAAUAUUAAAACUGCAGCUGUAGAUUGGAAAUGUUCCUAUCAUUUAUUUGCUUAGCGGUGAUCCGUCUUAUAUCGGCGCAAUGCGCAGCUCUGACGCGCAGGAACCGGAAGCUGUCUCAUUCACCGCCGGCCGGGCAUUAAACCAGAGGAGUCCCACCACUGCAUCGAUGCCCAUCUCUACCUAUACUGCUCUGUUCUAUGUGAGCAGAUACCCUGUCUGCCAGUCUGGACCCUGUGGAUCUCUAUGAUUUCUUAUGGCUGACCAGAUCAUCAGAGGUGGAAGCCUUGUUUGCUUCCAGUACAAGGUGAGUAGUCUUC